UACGAAGGGGGCUAGCGUUGCUCGGAAUCACUGGGCGUAAAGCGCACGUAGGCGGAUUGCUAAGUCAGGGGUGAAAUCCUGGAGCUCAACUCCAGAACUGCCUUUGAUACUGGCGAUCUCGAGUCCGGGAGAGGUGAGUGGAACUGCGAGUGUAGAGGUGAAAUUCGUAGAUAUUCGCAAGAACACCAGUGGCGAAGGCGGCUCACUGGCCCGGUACUGACGCUGGGGCACGAAGGCCAGGGGAGCAAACGGG
rnacentral:rRNA from 1 species